UACGAAGGGGGCAAGCGUUGUUCGGAAUUACUGGGCGUAAAGGGCGCGUAGGCGGCUUAUCAAGUCGCGUGUGAAAGCCCCCGGCUCAACUGGGGAGGGUCACGCGAUACUGAUCGACUCGAAGGCAGGAGAGGGUAGUGGAAUUCCCGGUGUAGUGGUGAAAUGCGUAGAUAUCGGGAGGAACACCAGUGGCGAAGGCGACUACCUGGCCUGUUCUUGACGCUGAGGCGCGAAAGCUAGGGGAGCAAACGGG
rnacentral:rRNA from 1 species